rnacentral:rRNA from 1 species
UACGGGGGGGGCAAGCGUUGUUCGGAAUUACUGGGCGUAAAGGGCUCGUAGGCGGCCAACUAAGUCAGACGUGAAAUCCCUCGGCUUAACCGGGGAACUGCGUCUGAUACUGGAUGGCUUGAGGUUGGGAGAGGGAUGCGGAAUUCCAGGUGUAGCGGUGAAAUGCGUAGAUAUCGGAAGGAACACCAGUGGCGAAAGCGGCUUCCUGGUCCGACACCGACGUUCAGGCACGAAAGCGUGGGGAGCAAACAGG